UUCUCAGUGAAGUGUUAGAGGAACCAU
rnacentral:piRNA from 1 species